rnacentral:rRNA from 1 species
AGAGUUUGAUCAUGGCUCAGAUUGAACGCUGGCGGCAUUUACACAUGCAAGUCGAGCGGCAGGNGGGGAACCUGGCGGCGAGCGGCGAACGGGUGAGUAAUGCAUCGGAACGUGUCCCGUAGUGGGGGAUAACCCGGCGAAAGCCGGACUAAUACCGCAUAUUCUCUACGGAGGAAAGGGGGGGACCCGCAAGGGCCUCUCGCUAUGGGAGCGGCCGAUGCCCGAUUAGCUUGUUGGUGAGGUAAUGGCUUACCAAGGCGACGAUCGGUAGCUGGUCUGAGAGGAUGAUCAGCCACACUGGGACUGAGACACGGCCCAGACUCCUACGGGAGGCAGCAGUGGGGAAUUUUGGACAAUGGGGGCAACCCUGAUCCAGCCAUGCCGCGUGCGGGAAGAAGGCCUUCGGGUUGUAAACCGCUUUUGUCCGGAAAGAAAAGGCGCCACCUAAUACGGGGCGUUCUUGACGGUACCGGAAGAAUAAGCACCGGCUAACUACGUGCCAGCAGCCGCGGUAAUACGUAGGGUGCGAGCGUUAAUCGGAAUUACUGGGCGUAAAGCGUGCGCAGGCGGUCCGCAAAGUCUGAUGUGAAAGCCCCGGGCUCAACCUGGGAACUGCAUUGGAAACUAACGGGCUCGAGUGUGGCAGAGGGGGGUGGAAUUCCACGUAGCAGUGAAAUGCGUAGAGAUGUGGAGGAACACCGAUGGCGAAGGCAGCCCCCUGGGCUAACACUGACGCUCAGGCACGAAAGCGUGGGGAGCAAACAGGAUUAGAUACCCUAGUAGUCC